rnacentral:rRNA from 1 species
UACGUAGGGUGCAAGCGUUAAUCGGAAUUACUGGCGUAAAGCGUGCGCAGGCGGUUCGCUAAGACAGAUGUGAAAUCCCCGGGCUUAACCUGGGAACUGCAUUUGUGACUGGCGGGCUAGAGUAUGGCAGAGGGGGGUAGAAUUCCACGUGUAGCAGUGAAAUGCGUAGAGAUGUGGAGGAAUACCGAUGGCGAAGGCAGCCCCUGGGCCAAUACUGACGCUCAUGCACGAAAGCGUGGGGAGCAAACAGG